CCUACGGGAGGCAGCAGUGGGGAAUAUUGCACAAUGGGCGAAAGCCUGAUGCAGCAACGCCGCGUGAAGGAAGAAGGGUUUCGGUCCGUAAACUUCUAUCAACAGGGACGAAAGAAAUGACGGUACCUGACUAAGAAGCCCCGGCUAACUACGUGCAAGCAGCCGCGGUAAUACGUAGGGGGCAAGCGUUAUCCGGAUUUACUGGGUGUAAAGGGUGAGUAGGCGGCAUUGUAAGUCAGAUGUGAAAGCCUUGGGCUUAACCCGAGGAUUGCAUUUGAAACUAUAUGGCGAGAGUGCAGGAGAGGAAAGCGGAAUUCCUAGUGUAGCGGUGAAAUGCGUAGAUAUUAGGAAGAACACCAGUGGCGAAGGCGGCUUACUGGACUGAAACUGACGCUGAGGCACGAAAGCGUGGGGAGCGAACAGGAUUAGAUACCCCUGUAGUC
rnacentral:rRNA from 1 species